AGUUAACGGAUAUUAAAUUUGUCGUGUCAUAGAGCGCGUUAAAUCAAAGUAUAUUUUGUUCUUUAAUAAUUCAAAUGUAUUUAAUAAUAGUGUGAAUAGUUUUCAUUUAAAGCGUAGUAAAACUAGUGAAGGCGGUGUAGUGUAAAUAAGUAGUACAAAUCGUAAAGUAAUUAGAAAAAGUGAUUUAAGUGCAAUUGCAAAGCGCUUAGCAGCCACAAGGGCUGUACUGAGCUGCUCUUUGAUUGAAAAUCAUGAGCAGAAGCACAAACAAUACUUUUUUUCUAAUAUGUAUACAAUUGUGUAGUAAAAUUUGUUAUUGUGCAUUAAAUUUAAUGAAUACGCAAAGUGUUGAUUCGUAAUUAUAGUGUGUAUGCGCGACCAAAUAAUGUGUAAAGUUGUUUAAAGCCUUGAAUUUAUAUUACGGGAACAAUAUGCAGUUGCCAAGAAUUAUCUUCAAACAGCAAUAAAUAUAUUAACGACAUAAGAAAGAGCUUACAACAAUAUCUCUGCAGAAGCGAAGCUGCAAUCUCAUACUCACUCAGUUGCUACUAACAAGAAAGCAGUUAAAAAAGUAUGCCAAAAUGGGUGACUACUUUUGCAGUAUACCGCAGACUCACCACCGUUUAGUUGCACUGGACAGAAAUCGCAGAAAGUCGUUGUAUGAUCGCUACACUACAAUUGGAGCUUGGAGCUUUAAGCGCAUUAUAUUACCAAAAAUGGUUUACGGACCUCCGCCGUCAUUGAGCUUUUUCUCGAAGCUUACAUCGUUGUGCGUCUGAGGUAGUUCUUACGUUAAUUUGUUUCUGCUGCGAUUUAAUUACUCAAUAUGCUCUUAAUUACUUAAUAUAAAAUACCGUUAUUUUGGAGCUCUUCAAUACACUGGAAGGAAAGUCUUCACAUCGAUCCACAAGUCCACAUUCCUCAAGAUUGGCGAUGAUUACUGCAUGCCAGCUUUUGCGAAUGCAAGUCUUUGUGAGGUGGUCUGUAUCCGAUUUUUAAGAUGUUGAAGAGCUGCUGUGCUAUUCUUGGAUUAAAUAAAGGGAACUCGAAUAAAGCUUGCCCUGGACUUGUUUAGAUCAUCAAAGUGCUAUUAUUUUUGGCGGCACUGUAUGUAUGCACACUUCUCAGCUUUCCCGUCAGACCAAGGCAAUUGAAGUCCCGCGAAAGUCACGUUAUUUCCUGAACAGAUAACGGAAGUAUUUAGUCCAAAAAUAGCAAUAAAAAACUUGGGGUUAAGCACGUAAAUGAAACAAGUCGAAAGUAAACACACAAAAAAAGUAAAACGAAACAUAAAAUUUAUAAAUUUGCAAAAAAAUGUUAACACAAAUGGAAAAAAUAAAUGCCACAAAUGCAAAAAUUUGCAAGUUUUUUCUUAAAA